GUCGAGCGGUAAGGCCCUUCGGGGUACACGAGCGGCGAACGGGUGAGUAACACGUGGGUGAUCUGCCUCGCACUCUGGGAUAAGCCUGGGAAACUGGGUCUAAUACCGGAUAUGACCACCGGUCGCAUGGUUGGUGGUGGAAAGAUUUAUCGGUGCGAGAUGGGCCCGCGGCCUAUCAGCUUGUUGGUGGGGUAAUGGCCUACCAAGGCGACGACGGGUAGCCGGCCUGAGAGGGCGACCGGCCACACUGGGACUGAGACACGGCCCAGACUCCUACGGGAGGCAGCAGUGGGGAAUAUUGCACAAUGGGCGAAAGCCUGAUGCAGCGACGCCGCGUGAGGGAUGACGGCCUUCGGGUUGUAAACCUCUUUCGACAGGGACGAAGCGCAAGUGACGGUAC
rnacentral:rRNA from 1 species